GACGAACGCUGGCGGCGUGCUUAACACAUGCAAGUCGAACGGUGAAGCCUUUCGGGGUGGAUCAGUGGCGAACGGGUGAGUAACACGUGAGCAAUCUGCCCUUGACUCUGGGAUAACUUCGGGAAACCGGAGCUAAUACCGGAUAUGACAUACGGCCGCAUGGUCUGUGUGUGGAAAGAUUUAUUGGUCAGGGAUGAGCUCGCGGCCUAUCAGCUUGUUGGGGGGUAAUGGCCUACCAAGGCGAUGAUCGGUAGCUGGUCUGAGAGGAUGAUCAGCCACACUGGGACUGAGACACGGCCCAGACUCCUACGGGAGGCAGCAGUGGGGAAUUUUGGACAAUGGGGGAAACCCUGAUCCAGCCA
rnacentral:rRNA from 1 species